GAUGAACGCUAGCGGCAGGCCUAAUACAUGCAAGUCGAACGGUGUAGCAAUACACAGUGGCGCACGGGUGCGUAACACGUAUGCAACCUACCUUACAUUGGGGGAUAGCCUUUCGAAAGGGAGAUUAAUACCGCAUAAGACAGUAACUGGGCAUCUAGUAGCUGUUAAAGAUUUAUCGAUGUAAGCUGGGCAUGCGUCCAAUUAGUUAGUUGGCGAGGUAAUGGCUCACCAAGACGAUGAUUGGUAGGGGAACUGAGAGGUCAAUCCCCCACACUGGCACUGAGAUACGGGCCAGACUCCUACGGGAGGCAGCAGUAGGGAAUAUUGGGCAAUGGGCGCAAGCCUGACCCAGCCAUGCCGCGUGCAGGAAGAAGGCGUUAUGCGUUGUAAACUGCUUUUAUACAGGAAGAAACGACCCUUGCGAGGGGCAUUGACGGUACUGUAUGAAUAAGCACCGGCUAACUCCGUGCCAGCCGCCGCGGUAAUAC
rnacentral:rRNA from 1 species